AUUGAACGCUGGCGGCAGGCCUAACACAUGCAAGUCGAGCGAGCGGCGGACGGGUGAGUAAUGUAUGGGGCUCUGCCCGAUAGAGGGGGAUAACUACUGGAAACGGUGGCUAAUACCGAAUACUAUCGGAUGAACCCAUAUGGGAUUAGCUAGUAGGUGGGGUAACGGCUCACCUAGGCGACGAUCUCUAGCUGGUCUGAGAGGAUGAUCAGCCUAACUGGAACUGAGAGAAGGGCAGGACGCCUACGGGAGGCAGCAGUGGGGAAUUUUGGACAAUGGGCGCAAGCCUGAUGCAGCCAUGCCGCGUGUGUGAAGAAGUGCUUCGGGUUGUAAAGGAAUGUCAGCGGGGAGGCGGUCCCCGCAGAAGAAGCACCGGCUAACUCCGUGCCAGCCGCCGCGGUAAUAC
rnacentral:rRNA from 1 species